UUGACCAUAGCAAAAAAAUGAAAUGCUUCCUCUCUCCUCCCCUUUCCCAUCCUGUAGGAAGGGGGCCAUGAAAACAAAUUCUUUUCCACAGGCAGAGUCUGGCCUUCUAACUCUCAAGUCUUUACCUUACAAAUUCAAGUCGAAAGUCAUUUCAUCUCUUUUGGAACCUGUAACCAUGAGCUAGCUCUACCUGUCUUUCAGAAGAGUUCAUCACUGACUGUUUCCGUAUCUUCAGAUGACCAGGCCAGCAUGGUCGGACUCAGACCCUGGACAGAGGAAGAAGAUCUGGAGGAGGAAAACCUCUAUAGCACAAUCCAGCAAAGGAUGAAAAACUGGCUUCUGUGGAGCAUCUUCAAAGUCAUCAAAGACAUACCCCUAGGCCAGUAGGUUUGUGUACGCCCAUCUGACCCCAGCCAUGUAGUGCCGGUGUUUUAUCUGAAGUGUGACUCUGACUUUUCUUGAAAACAACUGUUGGCUUUCAUCCAUGGCUGGGGCAUCAUCCACAGCUGAAUCAUCAUCCAUGGCUGGGGCAUCAGGGACAUCAUUCACAGAUGGGCAUCAUCCACUGCUGGGGCAUCAUAUCAUCCACUGCUGGGGCAUCAUCCACACCUGGGGCAUCAUCCACUGCUGGGGCAUCAUCCACUGGUAGGACAUCAUCCACGCCUGGGGCAUCAUUCACUGAUGGGGUAUCAUCCAUGCCUGGGGCAUCAUCCACUGCUGGGGCAUCAUCCAUGCCUCUGGUAGCUCUGCAGGAAGGUUGCCAACUCACCAUUGCUUUCUCCAGGUUCCAGAGGCUUCCAUUUAAAGGAGCGACUCUCCCAACUCUACUGGAAUGUACUGGAAACUAUGUU